GUAAGGAAUAUUGGUCAAUGGGGGCAACCCUGAACCAGCCAUGCCGCGUGAAGGAUGAAGGCGUUAUGCGUUGUAAACUUCUUUUGUAUGGGAAGAAUGACAGGGAUUUAUCCUUGGAGAGACGGUACCAUACGAAUAAGCACCGGCUAACUCCGUGCCAGCAGCCGCGGUAAUACGGAGGGUGCAAGCGUUAUCCGGAAUCAUUGGGUUUAAAGGGUCCGCAGGCGGGCUAUCAAGUCAGAGGUGAAAUCCCACAGCUUAACUGUGGAACUGCCUUUGAAACUGAUGGUCUUGAAUUAAGUGGGCGUUGGCGGAAUAUGACAUGUAGCGGUGAAAUGCAUAGAUAUGUCAUGGAACACCGAAAGCGAAGGCAGCUAACGAUACUUAUAUUGACGCUCAUGGACGAAAGCGUGGGUAGCGAACAGGAUUAGAAACCCCGGUAGUCC
rnacentral:rRNA from 1 species